rnacentral:rRNA from 1 species
CGCAGUGGCGCAGCUACACAUGCAGUCGAGCGAGAACUUCGGUUCUAGCGGCGGACGGGUUAGUAACGCGUGGGAACGUGCCCUUCACUACGGAAUAGUCCCGGGAAACUGGGUUUAAUACCGUAUACGCCCUUCGGGGGAAAGAAUUUCGGUGAAGGAUCGGCCCGCGUUAGAUUAGAUAGUUGGUGGGGUAACGGCCUACCAAGUCUACGAUCUAUAGCUGGUUUUAGAGGAUGAUCAGCAACACUGGGACUGAGACACGGCCCAGACUCCUACGGGAGGCAGCAGUGGGGAAUCUUAGACAAUGGGCGCAAGCCUGAUCUAGCCAUGCCGCGUGAGUGAUGAAGGCCUUAGGGUCGUAAAGCUCUUUCGCCAGGGAUGAUAAUGACAGUACCUGGUAAAGAAACCCCGGCUAACUCCGUGCCAGCAGCCGCGGUAAUACGGAGGGGGUUAGCGUUGUUCGGAAUUACUGGGCGUAAAGCGCGCGUAGGCGGAUUGGAAAGUUGGGGGUGAAAUCCCAGGGCUCAACCCUGGAACUGCCUCCAAAACUAUCAGUCUAGAGUUCGAGAGAGGUGAGUGGAACUCCGAGUGUAGAGGUGAAAUUCGUAGAUAUUCGGAAGAACACCAGUGGCGAAGGCGGCUCACUGGCUCGAUACUGACGCUGAGGUGCGAAAGUGUGGGGAGCAAACAGGAUUAGAUACCCUGGUAGU